rnacentral:rRNA from 1 species
UGCAGUCGAGGGGCAGCACGUAAGUAGCAAUACUUUGGUGGCGACCGGCGCACGGGUGAGUAACACGUAUGCAACCUACCUGUAAGAGGGGAAUAACCCGGAGAAAUUCGGACUAAUACCGCAUAAUACUGUUGAACUGCAUGGUUCGAUAGUUAAACAUUUAUGGCUUACAGAUGGGCAUGCGUAUGAUUAGCUAGUUGGUGAGGUAACGGCUCACCAAGGCAACGAUCAUUAGGGGUUCUGAGAGGAAGGUCCCCCACACUGGUACUGAGACACGGACCAGACUCCUACGGGAGGCAGCAGUGAGGAAUAUUGGUCAAUGGGCGAGAGCCUGAACCAGCCAAGUCGCGUGAAGGAAGAAGGUUCUAUGGAUUGUAAACUUCUUUUGUAAGGGAAUAAAAAAGAGUACGUGUACUCUAUUGUAUGUACUUUACGAAUAAGGAUCGGCUAACUCCGUGCCAGCAGCCGCGGUAAUACGGAGGAUCCAAGCGUUAUCCGGAUUUAUUGGGUUUAAAGGGUGCGUAGGCGGACCUUUAAGUCAGUGGUGAAAGUUUGCGGCUCAACCGUAAAAUUGCCAUUGAAACUGAAGGUCUUGAGUGUAAAUAAGGUAGGCGGAAUGUGUUGUGUAGCGGUGAAAUGCUUAGAUAUAACACAGAACACCAAUUGCGAAGGCAGCUUACUGGGAUACAACUGACGCUGAGGCACGAAAGCGUGGGGAUCAAACAGGAUUAGAUACCCUGGUAGUCCU